CGCGUAGGCGGGAUGGCAAGUCGGUCGUGAAAUCCUUCGGCUCAACCGAAGAACGUCGGCCGAUACUGCCGUUCUUGAGGGAUGCAGAGGAGACUGGAAUUCCCGGUGUAGCGGUGAAAUGUGUAGAGAUCGGGAGGAACACCGGUGGCGAAGGCGGGUCUCUGGACCACAACUGACGCUGAGGCGCGAAAGCUAGGGGAGCAAACAGGAUUAGAUACCCUGGUAGUCCUAGCCUUAAACGAUGAAUGCUUGGUGUGAUCGGUAUCCAAUCCGAUUGUGCCGCAGCUAACGCGAUAAGCAUUCCGCCUGGGGAGUACGGUCGCAAGGCUGAA
rnacentral:rRNA from 1 species